ensembl:lncRNA
CCACCCUUUCCUAUUGAUGUAACCUUCCGCCACUACAACGAUCCUUUUCGCGGUCUGCUGUGGGGUCGAGGCCUCGGUUAGGGCUGUUAUGAGGGUGUCUUUACACAGUAAAAUGAUUUGGCGUUGUUUCAUCUGCUGCCUUUUUGUGGCAGUGACAUUAAGAGCAUUGCUGAACCACAUCAAUACGGUACACAGCCGUAGUCCGAAUUUCCGUGUCAUCUGCGGCAUUGACGGCUGCACUCAGGAAUACAGAGUGUACAACUCUUUUUACUACCACGUCAAACGGAGCCAUGCCUCGCAUCUCCUCAGCCGCAAGUGUAUGAGGCCCAGUGGAGACCGAACGGCGGGUAAAGCCGCGGAGGACAGUGCAGGGCUGUGUACAGCCAGAUAUGUUCCAAUGCAACCGAGAGAAAGAUGUUUGGAGAAUUUUGAUGUACCUAGCAUUCAGUCAGCACUAGAGGCACACGAACCCACUACAGCAAGCACACCAACAGGUGUUGUUAGUGACGUUGGCUGCUCCACCACCGAAAAUGCCCGAGGUCACGCCGCUCCAGCUCCGGAUGGCGCUCCGCCAGCUUCUACUGAAGACACAGCGCUUACAGCCCAGGCGGAACAGGAUGAAGUACUACCCGAAUCUACACAACUAGGAGAAAGUGCUAUACAUGAAGAGACUAAUGUGGAUCUACUGAAGAAACAUGCCACUGCCUUUGUGCUCUCUGCUAAAGAGAAACACCGUUUAUCACAGGUAAGUUAAUGUGUUGUAACUAUAUACUGUACAUAAACACUGCAACUGGCUCUUGUCAGUCCGUUACUGUUAAUGUGAUAUAAUUAUGCAGUAAUAAGUGUGAAAAGAUGUGUGUUUAAGCUAUUAGGUUCACUGAAUUAAUGAUUGCUAUUAUAUUGAAAGUUACCAACCAAAUUUGGUAUUUUUUGAACCAACUAAAUUAUGUUGUGUAUUUAAUGUCAAGCAUUACAUAUACAUAAUGAAGCAACCAUACAGUUAAAUUAUGGACUGACUGAUACAGAUACUGCACAAUUUGAAUAAUUUCAGAUGCUGAUAAUGAAUAAGGCAUUUUUUGUUUUUCCCCCAGAGUGCAGUCAAUGAUAUUGUAGCUGGAGUGCAGAACUACCAAGCUUCACUGCUGGACAGUUUGAAAAAUCAGAUGGCACGGGUAUUCCAGAGACAUUCAGAAGUUACAGAUCAGCUGCUUAGUGAGUCAAUGGACAUUUUUGAUAGUUUUGAAGACCCAUUUGCCAGAGUUUCCACUACAUAUAUGCAUGACUCAACCGUCAAGGAGCUGUUUGGAGUAGUGGAAGCACAAGAAAUUGAGAUUGCCCGGUCUGCAUGUUAUAAAGGACAAGGACCCUCUCGUGCUCUUGCUAUUAGAUCUGAGUGCAUUUACUACAUACCUUUGAUCAAAAGUUUGGAACAAUUACUUUCACAUCCUGUGGUUCUAUCAAUGUUUGA